rnacentral:rRNA from 1 species
UACGUAGGGAGCAAGCGUUGUCCGGAAUCAUUGGGCGUAAAGCGCGCGUAGGUGGCCCUGUAAGUCCGUUGUGAAAGUCAAAGGCUCAACCUUUGAAAGCCGAUGGAUACUGCAGGGCUAGAGUACGGAAGAGGCGAGUGGAAUUCCUGGUGUAGCGGUGGAAUGCGCAGAUAUCAGGAGGAACACCAAUAGCGAAGGCAGCUCGCUGGGACGUUACUGACACUGAGGCGCGAAAGCGUGGGGAGCGAACGGG